rnacentral:rRNA from 1 species
UACGGGGGGAGCAAGCGUUGUUCGGAUUUACUGGGCGUAAAGGGCGCGUAGGCGGUCAGCACAAGUCAGUUGUGAAAUCUCCGAGCUUAACUCGGAAAGGUCAACUGAUACUGUGCGGCUAGAGUGCAGAAGGGGCAACUGGAAUUCUCGGUGUAGCGGUGAAAUGCGUAGAUAUCGAGAGGAACACCUGCGGCGAAGGCGGGUUGCUGGGCUGACACUGACGCUGAGGCGCGAAAGCUAGGGGAGCGAACGGG